ACGGGAACACCAGCUCAUUUUCAUUUAAAGGGGACAAACACAAAAACAGCAAGUUUUGGCUCAUACCCUAAAAGUGGCAAUUUCAACAAGCUAUAAAAAAUUAUCUGUGGGGUAUAUGAGACAAAACUUCACAUAUACACUCUGGGGACAUCAGAGAACAAUUUAAAAGAUUGUAUCAAUGCAUUCUAUGGCACCUUUUAAAACAAAACAUGCAUAUUUCUUGUAUUACACCGUUCUUCUUGCUCUUCAGAUGAUACUGAGGAACCUAGAGAUCCUGUCAGGGAUGAAGUGGAAUAUUCGUGGCUUCUGGCUUAUUUUAUCUGCCCUUUUCUGCAUAUCUUCAGUAAAUCUCAGCGAUAAUACCCCUCCAAAACCUGUUUGUCCUCUGCAAUCAACAUCUGAAUGCAGGCGAAAUGAAAAUAAUAAGAUGGAUAUGUUCAUACUGGGUUCAAGUGGUUUCAAAGGAUACAUGAAAAUAGCUAAUUGCAAAAAAGGUAAAUGGGAUAUUCCACAGGAGACAGUGAGCCCACUUCAGUGCCAUUCUUAUGUGUCAUCAGAGAACCUAUUCAGAGUCUCUGUUUUUCCACUUGUUGAAAAUGCAUCCUGUCCAGAAAACACAUCCUGUACAAUACACAGGAGUGGUGAGUUUGAGAGUAUUUGGGCUGAGAGGUUUUCUCUUGCUAGUGUGAUGGUCAAUAAUGAAACCUGUGGAUUUACUUUAGAAAUUCAUCUGAUUUAUUUUUAAUAACAGAGUAAACUUGUUUUCUAACCUGUUGUUUUACAGACUGCGGUGUAACUUUAUCAAGAAACUCACCUUACAAACUCAACAUAAGCAGAUGUGUUAUGCCCACGUUUGUCUGUUUAAUUCAAGGGAAAUGUAAAAAUGACACUUUGACAAACUGGAUGACAGAAGGUAAAUGAAAGAGCUUACAUUGAGUCUAUGAAUUUGGUAACCUUUGAUUUUAGAAAUGUGUAACAACAGUCUGUAGUUUUCUUUAAAAUGUCCAGUUUCAAUUUAUUCACUAUAUACUUGCUGUAUUACAAGAGCUAUGUCUUGUGCAGAUCAUAUCUGAUAGUUAGAAUAUUUUUGUUCUCUUUCUAAAAGGUUGUAAAUGGACCCAGCAAAACUCGUAUACGUAUUUUAAGGUUACUAGUGAGUAUAAUUCCAAAAAUUUCUACAUAUAAUAUUAAAGAUAUUAGACUAAUAAAAUAGUAUUUCCUGUUGUGAUGUGGAGUCA
ensembl:lncRNA